GACGAACGCUGGCGGCGUGCUUAACACAUGCAAGUCGAACGGUAAGGCCCUUCGGGGUACACGAGUGGCGAACGGGUGAGUAACACGUGGGUGAUCUGCCCUGCACUUCGGGAUAAGCCUGGGAAACUGGGUCUAAUACCGGAUGGGACUCCUGGCUUCAUGGUUGGGGGUGGAAAGCUUUUGCGGUGUGGGAUGGGCCCGCGGCCUAUCAGCUUGUAGGUGGGGUAAUGGCCUACCAAGGCGACGACGGGUAGCCGGCCCGAGAGGGUGACCGGUCACACUGGGACUGAGAUACGGCCCAGACUCCUACGGGAGGCAGCAGUGGGGAAUAUUGCACAAUGGGCGCAAGCCUGAUGCAGCGACGCCGCGUGAGGGAUGACGGCCUUCGGGUUGUAAACCUCUUUCAGCUAUGACGAAGCGCAAGUGACGGUAGUAGCAGAAGAAGGACCGGCCAACUACGUGCCAGCCGCCGCCGUAA
rnacentral:rRNA from 1 species